rnacentral:rRNA from 1 species
GACGAACGCUGGCGGCGUGCUUAACACAUGCAAGUCGAACGGAACACCCUUGACAGAGGUUUCGGCCAAUGAAGAGGAAUGUUUAGUGGCGGACUGGUGAGUAACGCGUGAGGAACCUGCCUUUCAGAGGGGGACAACAGUUGGAAACGACUGCUAAUACCGCAUGAAGCAGCGAGGGGACAUCCCCUUGCUGUCAAAGAUUUAUCGCUGAAAGAUGGCCUCGCGUCUGAUUAGCUAGUUGGUGGGGUAACGGCCCACCAAGGCGACGAUCAGUAGCCGGACUGAGAGGUUGACCGGCCACAUUGGGACUGAGAUACGGCCCAGACUCCUACGGGAGGCAGCAGUGGGGAAUAUUGGGCAAUGGACGCAAGUCUGACCCAGCAACGCCGCGUGAAGGAAGAAGGCUUUCGGGUUGUAAACUUCUUUUAACAGGGAAGAGAAGAAGACGGUACCUGUUGAAUAAGCCACGGCUAACUACGUG